rnacentral:tRNA from 3 species
GCGCCUGUGGCGGAAUUGGCAGACGCGCUGGAUUUAGGUUCCAGUGCCCGUGAGGGCGUGGGAGUUCAAGUCUCCCCAGGCGCACGA